AUUCCCACAGGCAUAUCCAUGAAAUUCUACUUUACAAGUUUGUCCAAAGGACAUGUCCAGAAAAGCUUCAAAACAUACCUAGAAAGCAAGCAGAAAAUGUGGUAGAUAUGAAGAAGCAGAAGGAAAUAAUAUAGUUCCUGCUCAUCAGAUCAGACAAAUUAGUGGAAGAAUGAGCUGGAUAUGCAGAGUUUCCUUUUUCAGCAUUCAAGCAGUAAGAACUCUGAAUGGUUUGCCACAGUAUCAAGAUCAACAGUAUCAACAUUAUAAGGGGAAGAUAAGGAUUUGGUGGAGGAACAGGCAAACAUGGUCAUCUGGAAGCGUUCUUAAUGAACAAGAAUUCUUGACAGACUGUGCAUUUCCUACUCACUUCUUCAGGUGGCCCAAGAUUUCAUGUGGUGUCCUUAUAAGGAUCAAAUCCUCAGGAAACCAUCUGGCCAUAUGUCAAUAGGACUGAUGAUGCCAAGACAGGAACAUCACAGUGGGCAUAUGCAAUGAUUGAUACAUAAAUUUCUUCAAAUAAGAUCCAUUUGUAUUGCUGUGUUUGGUAAACUAUUGGAUGCCAAAUUAAUUUGAAUUUCAGAUUUACUGGACCAUAAAGAAGGAAAAGAAGAAAACUGGAAGAAGAAGAAGAAGAAGA